AACGAACGCUGGCGGCAUGCCUAAUACAUGCAAGUCGAACGAGACCUUCGGGUCUAGUGGCGCACGGGCGCGUAACGCGUGGGAACCUGCCUUUAGGUUCGGAAUAACUCAGAGAAAUUUGAGCUAAUACCGGAUGAUGUCUUCGGACCAAAGAUUUAUCGCCUUUAGAUGGGCCCGCGUUGGAUUAGCUAGUUGGUGGGGUAAAGGCCUACCAAGGCGACGAUCCAUAGCUGGUCUGAGAGGAUGAUCAGCCACACUGGGACUGAGACACGGCCCAGACUCCUACGGGAGGCAGCAGUGGGGAAUAUUGGACAAUGGGCGAAAGCCUGAUCCAGCAAUGCCGCGUGAGUGAUGAAGGCCUUAGGGUUGUAAAGCUCUUUUACCCGAGAUGAUAAUGACAGUAUCGGGAGAAUAAGCUCCGGCUAACUCCGUG
rnacentral:rRNA from 1 species